rnacentral:lncRNA from 1 species
UUGUCUUUUUACUCUCUGUUCUUAGAUUUUGUUGGCCACACCAACAUACUCCCGUUUCUGCGUAGCUAAUAGAAAUGACGGUAUCUGGGGCAAAUAGGCAGACACUUUAAAGGCUGUUUGAAAGCAGACAUCUUUCAUAUUGGUUUCUUUCCUCUCCCAUUCAACACCUUUUUCUUUUCUCACUAAGUUGAAGCUGUUACUUAGGAAGUUGUAAGUUUGGGGUACACCACAUACUCUGAAAUGUCUAGCCUUUAGCAGCUUGACGCCAUGCUUACAUACAGAAGUCCCACAACAGAUGAGGGUUAGGGGGGAGCUCUUUGUUCUCCUCUGCUAUUCUUAUCCAUAAACUCUCCAUUUUGUUUAGAAGCUAAAUGGAAAGGAAACAUUUAAGAUGACUUUGCUCAUUGUGCAUUCCCCCUGAAUUACUCAGGAUGAGGAAAAACCAACACUCUUUACUGUCCACUCACAGUCCAACAUGGCCUCACGUGUCUUCACUGAGGACAUGACCCUAUGACCAGACUCACUCACCUUUCAUAGAUCACUGCUGUGCCUUGUAGUGCUUUUGGGGUAACCAGUAGAAAGGAAGGUUAAAAUACAUUUAAAUUAAGAGAGGGCAAAAUAAAUUUAUAAAAUUAUAGUAAAAUCAAUGGAAUUUUAGUUUCAUAAUAUUUGAAAAUCACAUACCCUUAUCUUUUUACACUUUAGCAAAACAUUUUUAAAAUUUCAAGGGUAUAGCAGAAUGCAGUUGUAACUUUUUAUGAAGAAAAGCAUAGAUGAAAGUGGAGAACAUGCUUGAGAUCUCGUAAUUUAGUCUAGGGGAUUUGAAACUCUCCCAAUGCUGAAGACAAAUCCUGUCAAGAAAAAGAAGCAUUUAAUGUAAUGUUACAUAGUAUUUUCAUAUGCAAGUCUUUAAACCUUUUUUUACCUCUACAAAAUACCUUUAAAGCAGGAUAUCAUUUAGUAGAUGGAAUUGUUAAGGUAAUUACCUUCAGUCAUUGCUAAAUUCAAGAGUUACACAAAAUUCAGAAUAUAUUGUCUGGUCUUAAAUUGUCCUUAUGUAUAUUUUGAUUCUGUGAUUAAUAGAAAGGAUUACAAGUCAUUCAAACAAAAGUUCAUACUUAACAAGAAUAUUUAGGAAAGGGAUUAAGUCCCUUCCAAUGUUUAGCAGCUUUCCUCAUCAGGAGGUUCUUAUUUCCAUUUUACAGACUGCUCAUGAGGUAAUAAUCCUUUAGACCCUUCACCUUACUACAUUUUUUGGGAUGAAUCCUGAGGGAGUUGGGAAGAAGCAAUUUUUUCAGUCUCCUCUUUCUGUCCUUAAUCUCUCUGCCACCAUAUUCGAUAGCCCACCUCAUCCAAACCCUAGUCACAAAGUUUGAAACUAAUCAAAACUCCAUCUUAAGUAGCCCAUCUCGCAGGUUUUUUACAUUUUAAGGAACUGGGCAUAUUAGUUAAAUUAGUAAAAUACUAUAGAAUUCUUGUAAGCAAAGGGGAGGGAGAGGGAGUACAUUUGAGGGGAAUAUCAUGCCUUUUAGGCCUUUUAAAUCAACUGGGUGGCUUUAGGCUGGACAAAUGAUAUUCUCCAACAGCUCAAUCUUGAGUUUAAGGUCGUUUUUCUUAAUGUUCCCACAUGUGUCCCAUUUGACGAUGGAUUCAUUAUUUGCCCUUAUCGGUAAGGUUUGUCAAUUCGGUGUACUGAAGGCUGAGACUGAUUUCUAUCUCUUGAACACCCCUCUCUCACCAGAAGAGUAGCCACUUGGCCUUGUGUGAUGUGGGCAAAAACCUCCAGAAAGAGUAAAUACACUCACAAGGACUAUAUUUAGAUGUGCGGCAGAUUAUGGAACCGGUUUUGGAUUAGCCUUUUAUUUUCAUUGUGUUUAUUGAGGCAGUUCUGAAAACUAUCAUCGAAAUAGUGGUGUGUCCUUUACUGGUUCAAAGGUUUUACGUCGUUUUUAUGCAGUUGAAUUCCAAAAGAGAAAUCGUUCUCUUUUAACUGUCAUCAACCUUUAUCGGCUAUCAGCUUUUGACAAUGACCUUUCUGUUCAUGUUUAGUCCUGUCUCUGUUUCUCGAGGGAGUCGAACCUGUCAUUUUUUUCAUCUUUCAUUUUUUUUGACAUGUAUCCUUUCUAAGAGAGGGCUCUCUGUUGCCUGUUCUGAGUGAUAAGUGACAAUUUCAUCUAAUAAACAUGGGGUUGGAAAUGAUCAUGGUGAAAUCCUAGGAGGAUAUAUUCUGUUGAUGGACUUUUUCUCCCCAAAUAAUCCCCAAAUAGAUUAUUUCCUAGUGAAUGAUUAUCUUCAUCCUUUUUGUCACAAAAGUGUUCCUUUGAUUUCUAGCACAAGUUACAGCAGUAUGCAAAUGAUUCUCAGAUAAAAUGAUGUUGACAGUAUUUCCUUAACAAUUUGUGUAAAACCUAUGCGUAAUUCUCAUUAUUCUAACUUUUGACUUUUUUUCUCUCCAUAAAUAAAAAUAAUGCCUGAUGUUUAG